rnacentral:lncRNA from 1 species
UACUAGACUAGCACUGUUGUUGUUGGCCAGGAUUCUCUCAAUAUUCUGUUUGUCCAGCAUUUUGCACAAAUAGAUGCUAUCAGAUAACCAAGCACUUCCAUAUCGUAUUUAACGGUUUACACUACUUUUGUGUUGUAAAACUUCAUUCAACUAGAAAAACAAAGGACAAAUGAACUACGCAGUAGAAAAGAAAUGCUCUCAAGAAGCACAAGCAAAUUAAAAAAAAAGACCAGAAG